rnacentral:rRNA from 1 species
GGCAGCAGUGGGGAAUAUUGGACAGUGGGCGGAAGCCUGAUCCAGCCAUGCCGCGUGUGUGAAGAAGGCCCUAGGGUUGUAAAGCACUUUAAUUAGGGAGGAAGGCUGUUUGGUUAAUACCCAAGCAGAUUGACGUUACCUAAAGAAUAAGCACCGGCUAACUCCGUGCCAGCAGCCGCGGUAAU